CUCACAUCCCUCCUCUACCUACCCCUGACACAUCAAAAUUACCCCUGGUCCUUCACCUGGUGGGACAGGUGUGCCCAUCCUGACAGCUAUUUAAACCCUCCCAUGCCAGGAAAUGGGAACCCAGCUUUUAAAGCUCGUUUUCACCCAGAGGAUGUCAAAGAAUAAAGGAGUGCUUGCUCACAGGCUGUCCCCAAAGCACCAGGAAAUAUAAAUAAAAUUCAAAACCAUACUGAAAUGGAAACAGUUUCAGGAAGAAGUGCAGAGAGAUGCUGCAGUGCCAUUAAGAAGGAUCCCAAUGGUGUUUCCAAGGAGGACUUGCUGCACUAAGGACAGCUGGUUCUGGUGGUCAGAUCCUGGAGGAAAAUGGGGAAUAUCAGUUCCCAAAUCCCAAGGCUGGCACAGACUCCAUGUGUCACCUCAGGAAUUCCUUGAUGCUGCUGGGAACCUCCCUGGUAAACCAGCCUGCCCUGAAAUCCCCACCAAUGAAAACUUGUUUUUUGCCUACUUUUUACAAACUUCAGAGGGUAGAAUGAUUUCAGCAGAUGCAUUUAUUUGUCUGAUUUUGCUGCCUGGACUCACACAGUGAGGUUUUCUGAGAUAUUAACUAUCACUCUAAAUUCUUCUCGCUUUGAGUCAUCCCAUCCCGUAUAUAAUUUGAACAGGUUUUUGUAUAAUUAUUUCUCUCAAUAAUUACCAUUGUACAAUUUCUAUAGCUGCCAGUUUUGUUUUUCUCUCCUGCCAGAGAACAGCAGAAAUGUAUUACAUGUUAGUGUAACUUAUGUUUUUGGAUUCAUGUUUAAAAUGCAUGGAAUAUUUUUCAUCUUCUGUUUGAAGCAAUAC
ensembl:lncRNA